rnacentral:misc_RNA from 1 species
GAUGAAGAACGCAGCGAAAUGCGAUACGUAAUGUGAAUUGCAGAAUUCAGUGAAUCAUCGAAUCUUUGAACGCAUAUUGCGCUCUUUGGUAUUCCGAAGAGCAUGCUUGUUUGAGUAUCAGUAAACACCUCAAAGCUUUUGGAUUUUUUAAUCAAAAAGCUUUGGACUUGAGCAAUCCCAACACCAAUCUUUUUGAGAUCGGUGGCGGGUUGCUUGAAAUGCAGGUGCAGCUGGACAUUCUCCUGAGCUAAAAGCAUAUUCAUUUAGUCCCGUCAAACGGAUUAUUACUUUUGCUGCAGCUAACAUAAAGGGAGUUUGACCGUAUUGGCUGACUGAUGCAGGAUUUCACAAGGGUCGGCAACGAUUCUUGUUAAACUCGAUCUCAAAUCAAGUAAGACUACCCGCUGAACUUAAGCAUAUCAAUAAGCGGAGGA